UACAGCGGUCCCAAGCGUUGUUCGGAUUCACUGGGCGUAAAGGGUGCGUAGGCGGUUAGGUAAGUCUGACGUGAAAUCUCCGGGCCUAACCCGGAAACUGCGUUGGAAACUACUUGACUAGAGGAAUGGAGGGGAGACUGGAAUACUUGGUGUAGCAGUGAAAUGCGUAGAUAUCAAGUGGAACACCAGUGGCGAAGGCGAGUCUCUGGACAUUUCCUGACGCUGAGGCACGAAAGCUAGGGGAGCAAACAGG
rnacentral:rRNA from 1 species